UAGCAAUACUUUGGUGGCGACCGGCGCACGGGUGAGUAACGCGUAUGCAACCCAUCUAUCAGAGGGGAAUAACCCGGCGAAAGUCGGACUAAUACCGCAUAAAACAGGGACACCGCAUGGUGAUAUUUGUUAAAGAAAUUCGCUGAUAGAUGGGCAUGCGUUCCAUUAGGUAGUUGGUGAGGUAACGGCUCACCAAGCCGACGAUGGAUAGGGGAACUGAGAGGUUGGUCCCCCACACUGGUACUGAGACACGGACCAGACUCCUACGGGAGGCAGCAGUGAGGAAUAUUGGUCAAUGGGCGAGAGCCUGAACCAGCCAAGUCGCGUGAAGGAAGAAGGAUCUAUGGUUCGUAAACUUCUUUUGCAGGGGAAUAAAGUGCAGGACGUGUCCUGUUUUGUAUGUACCCUGAGAAUAAGGAUCGGCUAACUCCGUGCCAGCAGCCGCGGUAAUACGGAGGAUCCGAGCGUUAUCCGGAUUUAUUGGGUUUAAAGGGUGCGUAGGUGGUUUGAUAAGUCAGCGGUGAAAGUUUGCAGCUUAACUGUAAAAAUGCCGUUGAAACUGUCGGACUUGAGUGUAAAUGAGGUAGGCGGAAUGCGUGGUGUAGCGGUGAAAUGCUUAGAUAUCACGAAGAACUCCGAUUG
rnacentral:rRNA from 1 species